AACGAACGCUGGCGGCAUGCCUAAUACGUGCAAGUCGAACGAGAUCUUCGGAUCUAGUGGCGCACGGGUGCGUAACGCGUGGGAAUCUGCCCUUGGGUUCGGAAUAACUUCUGGAAACGGAAGCUAAUACCGGAUGAUGACGUAAGUCCAAAGAUUUAUCGCCCAAGGAUGAGCCCGCGUAGGAUUAGCUAGUUGGUGAGGUAAAGGCUCACCAAGGCGACGAUCCUUAGCUGGUCUGAGAGGAUGAUCAGCCACACUGGGACUGAGACACGGCCCAGACUCCUGCGGGAGGCAGCAGUAGGGAAUAUGGGUCAAUGGGCGAAAGCCUGAUCCAGCAAUGCCGCGUGAGUGAUGAAGGCCUUAGGGUUGUAAAGCUCUUUUACCCGGGAUGAUAAUGACAGUACCGGGAGAAUAAGCUCCGGCUAACUCCGUGCCAGCAGCCGCCGCGGUAA
rnacentral:rRNA from 1 species